rnacentral:lncRNA from 7 species
GGGUGUGUGAAUUGUUUUCUUUGUGCUGUGUUGCUUCAUGGGUAGCCAUUACAUAUCAGCUGCAUGAAGAGAAAGAUCAACUAGCCUAACAAAGAAAGCAUUUUGUUUUUAAUGUGACUGUCUUGGUCUGUCAACUAAUAAGGAGAAAAAAAGUAAGCUGUGAUCAACUUUGAAAUAGCUCAACUUUCAUCUUGCUUUAGUCUUCAAAUUGCUAUGGAUUCAGUGCCUUUCUUUGAAAGGUGAAAACUACUCAUCUGGAUCACAAGACGACUUGGGUUUUUGGAACUGGGAUAAUCUUGUGCAGCUGAAGAUGUUUGUGAGGCAAUUUGCUUCAAAAGAUCUGGCUAGAAGUAUGGUCACUGUGUGUCAGGAGCAAAAUAGGGUCACAGCUGGAACCACUGAUGGAGCACCUGGUGAAGGGGCGUAGCCAGCUCUGGGACACAGGUGGAAGCAAUCCCUCCUAAUCUCAUACAAUGGCUGGCAGCUGCAAAGGAAAAAAUCUCUACUUCGAGAUCGUCUCAUUUGGAGUGUUUGGUGGAUCUUGAUCCUUGGAAUGGGGAAGUACUGACUUAAGACGCUUCUACGUGUUCUCAGUGGGGGAACAGAAUGGACAAAUAAGUGAUGGUUGGUAGCACAGCUGCAGAGCCUCUGUUAAAAAAAAAAAAAGCCCUGAAUACCACAGAAAUGUUUAUACCCGCUUAUGUUUGUGAUCUGUUAAUAGUUCCAUUUUGAUCUUUCUUCUGGCCUUUGGUAUUGAGGACUCCUUUCAGCUGACUUUCUUUUAAUUCUUGCUUGAGCUACCUGUGCUUGUACUGCAUCAUCUUUCAGUUUCUCUACUACCUUCCAAGAGUCAGUCAAAAUCACUGUUCUCGUACCAGUAAAAGAAAAAUCUUAGAUCCCCUAUCUCCUGCUAUGCUUCCCAGUCUGUUUGGAAAAGAUCACUGAGGAAUGGCAGCAUAAGCAUAUAAAGAAUGUACUCAUGCUGUCGAUUAACCCCCUUUUUUGAAACAUGAAAUGGAAAUGUGUAUGCGUGGAGACAGUGGUUUUCAAUGCAGAUAGCAAAAUUACUUAGAAUUUCUGUAGUUUCAAAUAGAAUUUUAAAAAUAUGUUUAAUGAAAACUUAACCAGGAUUUUUAUUAAGUGGUUAAUUGGCAGAGAUUGCUUAUAAAGGGCAUUGAAAGUGGUCUUCCAGUAGUUUUGCACAAAUGAGUAGUCAUCUUUCAAUUGUCAUUUAUGUACCUGCUUAUGAAUGUCAGAGCUAUGCAAAUCAAGCACAUAAAUACAGUUUAUCCUGUGCUUAGUUCUACCAACUUUUUUGUGUUGAUCAUUAAACAAGUAAUUUGCUGCACAAGAAUGAAGAUUUAUUUUACUUGUCUCCUUGAUUUAGAAAUAAAUCAGUCAAAAAUAGUGCUAUCUCUAUAUUGUUAACAAUGAAGAGGGCAUCACUAAUGACAAAAUAUUAAAUGUUUAUAUUGAGUAAAUUCAAAUUACUGUUUACUGUAAUCUUAUUAAGUUUGUCAUUUGAACUGGAAAUAGACAAAAAGGAGAAGGACCACUG